AUCCCUUGACAUCCUGCGAACUUUCUAGAGAUAGAUUGGUGCCUUCGGGAACGCAGUGACAGGUGCUGCAUGGCUGUCGUCAGCUCGUGUCGCGAGAUGUUGGGUUAAGUCCCGCAACGAGCGCAACCCUUAUCAUUAGUUGCUAACAUUUAGUUGAUAACUCUAAUGAGACUGCCGGUGAUAAACCGGAGGAAGGCGGGGACGACGUCAAGUCAUCAUGGCCCUUAUGGGAUGGGCUACACACGUGCUACAAUGGGGGGUACAAAGAGCAGCCAACUGGCGACAGUGCGCGAAUCUCAUAAAACCUCUCGUAGUCCGGAUCGGAGUCUGCAACUCGACUCCGUGAAGUCGGAAUCGCUAGUAAUCGUGAAUCAGAAUGUCACGGUGAAUACGUUCCCGGGCCU
rnacentral:rRNA from 1 species